UACUUUGGCAGAUUAGUGCUUUAAAUUUAGAAUUUAAAUAUGUGGGUUAUACACAAGUAAUAC
rnacentral:tRNA from 1 species